rnacentral:rRNA from 1 species
UACAGAGGUCUCAAGCGUUGUUCGGAUUCAUUGGGCGUAAAGGGCGCGUAGGCGGCGUGGUAAGUCACUUGUGAAAUCUCCGAGCUUAACUCGGAACGGUCAAGUGAUACUGCUGUGCUAGAGUGCAGAAGGGGCAAUCGGAAUUCUUGGUGUAGCGGUGAAAUGCGUAGAUAUCAAGAGGAACACCUGAGGUGAAGACGGGUUGCUGGGCUGACACUGACGCUGAGGCGCGAAAGCUAGGGUAGCAAACGGG